GUGAGAACCUUUUUGUGGUUGGUUAGUUUUCUUUCUUUCCUUGUUGCCCUUACUUUUUUUCCUUUUUUUUUUUUUGCAAAUGUUGCAUAAUUCAGUUCCUUAUCCCAAUGGUAUUGUGUUUCUACUUCUUCUAAAGCUGACAAAUUAGUCUAUCAGUGAUUGACUGAUACAAUAAGAGGAACAUUUAAGGAAAUCAAACCAAUGUUGUUGUUUCCCAUCCCUCUAUAAAAUAAGCUUUAAGGAAUGUAGCAGGCCCAUUGCAAU